AGCGGGGUGGAGCAGUCCGGUAGCUCGCCGGGCUCAUAACCCGGAGGUCGUGGGUUCGAAUCCCACCCCCGCAACCA
rnacentral:tRNA from 1 species